UCUUACUCAGCUGCCGGAGAAUAUCAGAACUAACGAGUAAUAAACUCCCUUCAGCUAGGACAAGCCAAAACAAUCCUACAUUCUGAUUUGAGUAAUGGGAAAUCUAUUCUGUCACCAGUUAAUAAAACACGUUGUUUCUUCAGAUUUGCUGAUCGUGAGUUUCCACCUUUCACUGAUUUUUUUUUUUUUUUGCACCACUCAAAACCAAGGCAGCAAAUACAUUAGUGGAAAAUGAACAAACGAAUGAGGUUAUUUAGCUCUUUUUCGUGUGACGUCAUUUUCUGAUCAGGUACUAGCAUCUUGGUGCUCGUUAUUUUUAACAAUUGGUUAGAUAUUUAUCCUCUUGUUUUAUUUUGCUCAUACAGUAAUAAAACAUUUCAAAUGCAAACAGGCGACUUGCUUUUACUGAAUAAUCUUAAUUUUUAGUAGCGAUGAAAAACUCUUUUUAAGGUUAAUACAGAAAGACAUUUUAAAUCAUUUCUCCGCACUCUUUGCUCAGAGUAAUUGUUAUGCCUGGGAAACGCAGGCUCCAUCGCUGUGCCGUACAGUGGCCAUCGCAGUUCUGUUGUGAUGCCAUUCUAUCACAACUUGCCUUGAAGGGGCGAUUCAGACCGCCUAACUUCUGCAACCUAACAGGAACCUUUGCCGCCUAGGUGUGGAUUCAAUGUAGACUCCAGCAGAGGGUGUUAAGAGCACCGUAUUUCUGCUUUGAAACGUGCUCUCUCAUCUGGUCCUUUUUUCUGGGACUGGAAGAGAAGCCUGCACUCCUAAUUUAGACACACAGGUAAGAACACCAAGAAAAUAACGUUGAUCCUCUCUUCACGAGUUUUGUCAAGUCCAAAAAUUACAGUAAUUUAAAAUAGUUAAUAUUGCCUUUAGAAUACAAAAACUAGUGUCCUAUUAGUUCUGGAAGAAAUACAUCAAAAAGAUUUUUUACCUAAAAAGUUAAAGCACACAAAGAACAUGGUAGCAAGGAAAUGAAUCUCAUCAGGAAAUCAAAUCAAAAUCAAAUGAAUCAAAUCAAAUCAAAUCAAAUCAAAUCAAAUGAAUUUCAUCAGGAAACUCAUUGUGGAAAGAUAGAUGAAGUACUCUGUUAUAAUCUUAGAUUUUCUUUGUGAUGACAGUUUUCAUAGUUCCAUCUUAAAGAAAAUUCCUCCAUUUGUUUAUUGUAGUCUCUUUGCAGACUUGUUGAAACCAGGUGUAGCAGAAAUAAAUAUUUUCCAGACUACCGGGGAAGUUUAGCCAUCAUAUUAUAGAACGGGGCAAUGCUUCUCAAUGAGAUGUUUACAAAAAUAGCAGAUGGUCCUUCUUAUUUGUUAGAUUGAUAGAUUGAACUAUUGUCGGAAGCAAUCUGAAGUAAAGUAAGAAGAGUGCAGUUUGUGCCUGCCUUUUCUUUUUAAAGCUUUAUUGUAUUUUUCUGCUAUAUUUUACAGGUGGCAGCUGAUGCUUGCAAGUUAAUGGGAUAUCGGAAAUAUUUCAAACAAAUGGUACAAGAUGAGAUUUGGUACCAAAACAUAUGAUAACAGAUGAAAUGCAUAUUGCUACAGUGAAAGAUUACAUUCAUGAAGGAAAUGUUUUCAGAUAUUUUAUUACAGUAAUCUGGAUGAGAUCCCUGCAUACUAUGGUGGCCCAAAUAACUGCUGAAAAAGGUUGUCUCUGCAAAAUUUCUCUAGGACAGUGAUAAUAUAUGACAUAAUGGAUUGUGCACGUUCCAAAACACUGUAAGACAAACUUUAAAAGGAGCUGAAGUUUCUGCUGCUGAGGCCACAGAAUAAAGACCUUUGGAAUAAUCAACUCCUGGAUGCUUCUAAUGUUAGAUAUUCUGCACAAAGCGCAGUCGGAUGUGACACAUCAGGUAUACAGCUUUACUAGGACUACAUGAAGUCCAUGGGACUUACCAACUCAUACACAAAAACAGCACCUGGAGAAUGCAAGGUACCGAAACUGAACGUUACGAAUAGGAAUGACUCUGCUGAACAUCAAGAAAUGGCAAUUUCACAAACCGAAAAGCCUGAGGAUCAGUCUACUGUUACAGCAAAACAGGAAUACGAAGCAGCUAAAUUGUAUGCCUGGUCACAGGCAUUAUCUCUUGAGGACACUCAAUGAUUUGCAUCCUCAGCUGAUCCUCAGCACAAGUCUUCAGAAGUUAAAGCACUAGAAAAUUGCAACCCAUGUAGUCGCUUUAACACAUUCUCUCCUGCUUUGUGAACAGACUGCAAAUAUGAAAACACGGCUUCCUACACUUAAGUUUAGAAGAACUGAUAUAUUCAUUGUAAUUAUU